CAACGGUCUGCCUGUGGGUAGCUUUCAUGUGUUAUACAGGUAUGUCACGUUACAUGCAAACACCAACCUGAUUAUUCUUAACCAAACUCAACCCAAGGAAAUGUAAAGUUUUACAUAUCACUAGCAUGAGACACACAGCACCCCAAAUGUUGUCCUCAGUCAGCUUUUUGCUCUGUGUCACCUGGAAAAAUUUGGGGAUUGAUUUCCAUGUAUACAGGUUACGUGUGUCCAGCGCUGGACUAUGAUGCAAGGCUAAUGGUGAGAAUGGCCUGGGGGACAGGGCAGUUUCAGGACACUGCUGUGGAACGGAUGGAGACAGGCAGGACGUCCUGCUGCACUCCACCCAGUGGAACUGAAUCCCAGAGAGUCCAGCAAUAGCAGAGAGAGCCAGAAUAUGUUUACAUCUUACUCUGUGAAUUAAGGAUUUGGUUGGUGAUUGUUGGAACAGUGGAAAGUCUAACAAAGACGGUUUUGCUCCUUCCACUGCGAAUGCAAAAAGAGAAGCCGCAAACCAGACUGCAGCCCUACCUCUCUGUAUCCAUACAAACACUGUGUGUCACCUGCAUUGACCAUGAUGUCCAGACUUCUACCUAGCCUGCUUUUCGUCUUUCUUCUCUUGACCUCACCCUCACAUACUGCAGGUCAGUCCAUUCUCCUCUGCAAUCCUUGCAAUUUCUUUAGUUUUCCAUGUAUGUUAUGUGCAAAGUAUAAAAAUAUUCCAUUGCUUCCAUGCCUGAUAGGUGUGCAGAUCAGAUUACCUGGGUCUGGGUCUACUCAGUGCAAAGACAAGACCUUUUGUCUUCACCAAGUAACAAUCCUAAGAAACUGGCAUCUAAAUUGUCAAUUAAAAGUUCUCCCUAACAUAUUUCACUAUUUUAUAUUCUCCAAAAACUCCUAAAUACAAUAAAAACAGUUAGCUGGCUGGCUAAAUUCACCCUGCAUGGGUUA
rnacentral:lncRNA from 1 species